ACCAGGACCCAGCCAGGGGUAGCAGCCUCAGUCCCCAGGAGAACCGAGACCGUGAUCCGUGGGUCAGGGCCACCUCUUCCCAGCACGGACAUGGAGUGUGAUCCCUAGAACAGCCUGCAAACGAGGCAUUUGGAGCAAAAAGCCCGUGUUUACAGAGGAGCAGCAAGACCUCCUGGGCUCUGAUCCAGCACUGUACGACUGUCCGCUGUCGCACCCUUCCCAGAGUGCUGGGAUUGCAGACACCUGGCUCAACAUGUCCUUUUGAGGGACACCAAUCGACACAUAGCACCUUCUCAGAGGGUCACCGAGACCCUGACAAUGGCUCGCCGAGGAUGGAGGCUGUGGUCAGAGGGAGAGAGGGACCAGCCUUGGCACCUUGGAAGCAAGGAUGAGGUCUGCAG